GAUGAACGCUGGCGGCGUGCCUAAUACAUGCAAGUCGAGCGAACGGACGAGAAGCUUGCUUCUCUGAUGUUAGCGGCGGACGGGUGAGUGACACGUGGAUAACCUACCUAUAAGACUGGGAUAACUUCGGGAAACCGGAGCUAAUACCGGAUAAUAUUUUGAACCGCAUGGUUCAAAAGUGAAAGACGGUCUUGCUGUCACUUAUAGAUGGAUCCGCGCUGCAUUAGCUAGUUGGUAAGGUAACGGCUUACCAAGGCAACGAUGCAUAGCCGACCUGAGAGGGUGAUCGGCCACACUGGAACUGAGACACGGUCCGGACUCCUACGGGAGGCAGCAGUAGGGAAUCUUCCGCAAUGGGCGAAAGCCUGACGGAGCAACGCCGCGUGAGUGAUGAAGGUCUUCGGAUCGUAAAACUCUGUUAUUAGGGAAGAACAUAUGUGUAAGUAACUGUGCACAUCUUGACGGUACCUAAUCAGAAAGCCACGGCUAACUACGUG
rnacentral:rRNA from 1 species